AAUAGCACAGCUUCUUCGUCGUUCCAAUCAAACCAGGAUGAAUAACUUUGUGAGAAUCUUGAUUUGGAUACAUAAAGUGGUGCAGAAUCACCAGGAAGUUGAAUAAAUCUCAUAGGAGUUGGGAUGAAGAAGUUAUCCCACUUUCAAAUCAGGUGAUUCCAGAUUUCAAGUUUGGGAAUAGCACAGCUUCUUCAUCGUUCCAAUCAAACCAGGAUGAAUCUCUUUGUAAGAAGCUUGAUUUGGAUACAUAAAGUGGUGGAGAAUCACCAGGAAGUUGAAUAAAUCUCAUAGGAGUUGGCAUGAAUAAGUUAUCCCACUUUCAAAUCAGGUGAUUCCAGUUUCCCAGUUUGGGAAUAGCACAGCUUCUUCAUCGUUCCAAUCAAACCAGGAUGAAUCACUUUGUAAGAAGCUUUAUUUGGAUGCAUAAAGUUGUGGAGAAUCACCAGGAAGUUGAAUAAAUCUCAUAGGAGUUGGCAUGAAGAAGUUAUCCCACUUUCAAAUCAGGUGAUUCCAGUUUCCCAGUUUGGGAAUAGCACAGCUUCUUCAUCGUUCCAAUCAACCAGGAUGAAUCACUUUGUGAAAAGCUUGAUUUGGAUACAUAA
rnacentral:lncRNA from 1 species